CUCAUACUCCCUCCGUCCGGAAAUACUUGUCGGAGAGAAGGAUGUAUCUAGAUGUAUUUUAGUUUUAGAUACAUCAAAUUCUAUUCAUUUUUAUGACAAGUAAUUCCGGACAGAGUGAAUACUAU
rfam:Hordeum vulgare subsp. vulgare, WGS project CAJW01000000 data, contig: morex_contig_52007